GCUUGAGUGAAGACAUCAGAACAUACUUCUGUGGGGAGGUUCAUUUCAGAGAUUCAGCAUCCAUCCACCAGUUAGGUGAGCGAUUCCAGUUCACAUCAGUCAAAGCACAUAAGAAGAAGCAAGACUGGCUGCCAAGGGUUACAAGGAGACGUGAGAGAGACAGUGUCUCCUUCAGGUGACAUCCUGAUUAGUCCAUCAAUCACCCACAGACAACAAAGACCUGAUGUAGAAAUAAGCUUCCUCUGACAGCCUCUGAGAAACACAUCUGCUUCAUCAGACCCCUUUGACAACACGGACAAGAUUCUCAAAAACAAAAACAUCUACACAGGUAAUAAGUCACCAUCUCAUAAAUGAGGAAAUUAUAAAAGGCAGAACAAAAUCAAGAACAAAGAGGAGCCGGGCACCUGUAAUCCUGACACUCAGGAGGCUGGGAUAGGAGGGUCACUUGAGGCCAGGAGUUCGAGGUCAGCCUGGGCAACAUAGCCAGACCCCUUCUUAAGAAAGAAAGGGAAAAACA